AAGAUCGGCUACAAUUACACUUGUCAUGUAACGAGUGCUUUUAUACAUUUUUCGUAUAGCAGCCGUGGUUUGAACGUGAUAAGCAUUACGCUAGGUCUUCUGUGGCAUAUAGAAAUUUCGUAAAAUUAUCAUAAGACGGCCAAAUGAAUUACAAGUGAAACCAAAAACUAGGUAUCAUUUACAUUUUAGUUACAUGUUGUGGAGACGCCUCUAACACUAUAAUCUGGGCUACGAAGUCAUCAUUCCAGUAUCAUGGGAUCUGGAGAGAUCUAAGUCGUCAUGGACCACAAGUCGGCUGUCGUAGAAGGAGAGACAUUCAGGACAGAGGUGAACUUCAACGUCAUUUCCAUGGCUGAAUGAUUAUUCAUCUUCAAAAUAUGGAUAACUAUUUAACUCCAAGAUAUGAAUAAUUAAUUUGAAGACAGCGUGUUCAGUAUACGGUGUGCCUGCUUUGGGAGGAUAUUCCUCGUUGAGAACUUUGAAGAUCUUUUGCUUAUUGCUUGCUUUCGGUGAUUUUCUGCCAGCCAAGAUCAUCCUGACAUUUAAAAGAAAAUUGAGAUCUUUUGCCUAACAGAAAACAAUAUUUGCUUAGCAAGUGCAGUUUAGCGCGUUUCAAAGUUUUCUUUUGGGUGUGUAGAGGGGGGAGUGUAAAAUUACUACCUCGAGUACGUUUCGUCAAGUUGUGAUAUAUAUAGAGCAAAAAUCCUGCUGUAAAUCAUCUCGAAUCUGAUGCGCAUUGUAUUAGUGCUUCAUAAUGCGCUUUUUUUGUCAUGGAGAACCGUUUCCCAAGAUAACGCUACGCCCUCGAACUCUUUGCUGUGCAGAGUGUGCCAUUCAGUCCUUAACACUAAAGAGAGGGAGUUGGACAGCAAAAUGACAAAAAAGGAAGCAGGAAUGGAGGUACAAGCUAGAGAGUGGGUGCAGCUGGGGGCC